UGUAAAAGAAAAUUGAAAAUCAAAAUGUCUUCUCAAAUAUUCUCUCGUAUUUUUCGACCUCUUUCAAGAACUAUUUGCUAUGGAGUACGUGGAAAGAAUAUUUAUAUAUUGUCUGGAAAAAGAAAUGUUUUACCAAACCAGGCAAACCUUGUGCAAAAUGUGAGAUCUAAGAGUAGUACUGGAGUAUUUGCAUCUGACAAUGCCCUCAUGGUCACAGGAUUAAGUUUAUUUGGUGGAGUUCUUUUUUACGCAUUCUAUUUUGAAAGAUUGGGAAAGAUUCCAAAAUUAAAAAAACAAAGUUUAGCCAACAAGCAAGAGACUGUCCUAGCCGAUAUUGAAGAUGAAGAACAGAUAGAGGAAGAUAUCCUAGUUGGCACUCAUCCUGCAGAUGAAGAAAUUCCUGAACAUGUCCCGUUUGUAUUAAUUGGAGCUGGUACUGCAUCAUUUGCAGCUUAUAGGGCUAUUAAGAAUGAGAAAUCUGAUGCCAAGGUUCUUAUCAUCGGUGAAGAGAAAUACACACCCUAUAUGAGACCCCCAUUAUCUAAAGAAUUAUGGUAUAGUGAAGAUCCUCAGGCUAUUAAAACAUUGAGAUAUAAAAAUUGGAGUGGGAAGGAAAGAAGUCUGUUUUACGAAAAUGAUGAGUAUUAUUGUCAACCAAGUGAACUAAUGAAAAAAGAAGGUGGAGCUGUGGCUUUAUUAAGAAGAACUAAGGUUAUUGAGAUUAACCCCAGGAAUCACAAAAUCAAGAUACAAAAUGGAAAAGAAAUAGGAUAUGACAAACUUCUUUUAGCAACAGGUGGGACAGCUAAGAAUCUGAAGGUUUUUGAAGACGCUGACCCUAAUGUGAAAAGACGAACUACGCUAUAUAGAUCAAUUGCGAAUCUUCAAGCACUGGAUAAAGUGACAAAUAAAGCGAAAUCAAUCGCUGUGAUUGGUGGAGGAUUUCUUGGGAGUGAACUGGCAUGUGCUCUAGGACACAGAGGUCGCAAGUCAGGUAUUGAAAUCAUACAAAUAUUUCCUGAAGAAGGUAACAUGGCGCGAGUUUUACCUGGGUAUUUGAGCAAGUGGACAACAGAAAAUGUUGUGAAAGAGGGCGUGAAUGUCAUGACUGGUUGUCAUGUUGAAAAUGUGAAAUAUGAAAAUAAGAAAGUUGCUCUCUUCCUGAAUUCCGGGGAAAAGUUGGAAGUGGAUCAUGUUGUUGUCGCCGUCGGACUGGAAGCGAAUGUUGAUCUAUCAAAAUCUGCAAGACUUGAAGUUGACCCUGAGUUGGGAGGUUUCAGAGUUAAUUCCGAGCUCGAGGCUCGAUCUGAUAUAUGGGUGGCUGGAGAUUCUGCUUGUUUUUAUGAUGUCAAUCUUGGUCGUCGUCGUGUGGAGCAUCAUGAUCAUGCUGUGGUCAGCGGUAAACUUGCCGGGAAAAAUAUGACUGGAGCAAAACAGUCGUAUUGGCAUCAAUCUAUGUUUUGGAGUGAUCUUGGUCCAAGAAUUGGUUAUGAAGCAAUCGGUUUAGUUGACUCAAGUUUACCCACGAUCGGAGUUUUUGCUAAAGCUACAUCACGUGACACACCAAAGGCCGCUGUGGAAGCUACUGGUGAAAAUAUUCGAUCAAGCACACAAGAGCAGGUGUUCGAAUCAAAAGAGGAAAUUGUUGAAAUCGCGGAAGGUAUUGAGUCUAAUGAAAUCAGUGAUGUAGAAAAUAAUGAAGAAUAUGGCAAGGGAGUUGUGUUUUAUAUGCAAAAGAAAAGAGUCGUUGGUAUUGUUCUUUGGAAUAUUUUCGAAAGAAUGAACAUUGCAAGAAAGAUCAUCAUGUCGGAAAAAGACCAAGACGAUUUAAAUGAACUAGCGAAACACUUUAAUAUUCACACGUGACAUCUUGUUGAUACGUCGUCACUUCAUAUGAGACGUCACUUGCAGAGAACAUUAACUCAAGUCCACAGGUAAAACAGAUAAGAAGGAAGAAUAAAUAGCCACUAAAAUGAAAAGAAAACCGAAAACUAAUUAUUGAACCUGUCACGAACAAUACAUCGUGUUAUCGUCCUAAUUCGCCAUGUUGUUUUAAAAUAUCGUAAGCGAAGUGGAUUUUCUUGAAAUGAAACAAGGAAUUUGAAAGUGGAAGUGCUGUUAAAUUAUUUUCAUCGAAGAUACAUAUGACAUAGAUAGUAUUCGUUACCCGCAUUAUCCGGGCUGCUUCUAGUAGGUCGAGGUCAACGGUGUUACAUUUUGGUGAGAAGUCUAAGAAAGGAUUCAUGCAUUCGCUUCUUUUCUUGCUAACGGUGCUAAUUUGUCUACCUGCAUCGACUACCGCAGUACUAGUGGCAUGUAGUGGUUCAAACAGCACUUGUCAGGAAGCUUGUUUGAAACAUGGAUGUACAAAGUGGGAUUGUAAUGGGUCCUUAUUAAAUUUCUGUGAACAAUCAUGUUUCCAGAAACAAUGUUCACAUUUAACAUGUGACAAAACGAUGCACAGAUGCAAUCAGGAAUGUGGUGGAUGUAAAACUAUGAAUUGUUAUUCAUCGGAGUGCAACCAAAAAUGUUUAACUGGAUAUUGUAAUCAUAUUACAUGUGAUGCUGCAAUAAAUUGUCAACA